GACGAACGCUGGCGGCGUGCUUAACACAUGCAAGUCGAACGGAGAGGCCUGCUUUCCCUUGUGGAUUGCGGGUACUCGAGUGGCGAACGGGUGAGUAACACGUGAGUGAUCUGCCCCCAACUUGGGUAUAAGCCUGGGAAACUGGGUCUAAUUCCCGAUAGGACUGCAGGGUGGUGCCUGUGGUGGAAAACGAUUUUCUGGUGGUUGGGGAUGAGCUCGCGGCCUAUCAGCUUGUUGGUGGGGUAAUGGCCUACCAAGGCGGCGACGGGUAGCCGGCCUGAGAGGGUGGACGGCCACAUUGGGACUGAGAUACGGCCCAGACUCCUACGGGAGGCAGCAGUGGGGAAUAUUGCACAAUGGGCGGAAGCCUGAUGCAGCGACGCCGCGUGGGGGAUGACGGCCUUCGGGUUGUAAACUCCUUUCGACCGCGAGGAAGCCACCUGGUUGGAAGGGUGGUGACGGUAGUGGUAGAAGAAGCACCGGCUAACUACGUG
rnacentral:rRNA from 1 species